ensembl:misc_RNA 7SK 7SK RNA
GGAUGUGAGGGCGAUCUGGCAGUGACAUCUGUCACCCGAUUGAUCUCCAGGGUUGACUCGGCUGAUCUGGCUGGCGAGGCAGGAGUCCCCUUCCUCCCUCACCACUCCGUGUGCGUCCCUCCCGAAGCUGCCUGCUAGGUUGAAGAGGACGGCCAUCCCCGAUAGAGGAGGACCAGUCUUCAGUCAAGGGUAUACGAGUAGCUGUGCUCCCCUGCUAGAACCUCCAAACAAGCUCUCAAGGUUUACAGUAACUAGCAAGAACCCAUGCUGGAGAUGUGGCUCAAGUGGUGGAGUGCAAUAU